rnacentral:rRNA from 1 species
AAAUAAUAUAAUUUAAUUUAAUUAGUAUAAAUUAAUUUAUAAUAAUUAAUUUUAAUUUAAAAUUUAUUAGGUGAAAUUUAUAAAUUUUAAAAAAAUUUUUUUUAAUGAAGUUAAGAAAUUUAAUUAAUAAACUAGGAUUAGAUACCCUAUUAUUUUAAAUGUAUUUUUAUAUACUAAAUUAGUAUUAGUUAUGUUCUUGAAAAUUAAAGAUUUUGGCGGUAUUUUAGUCUAUUCAGAGGAACCUGUUCUAUAAUUGAUAAUCCACGAUUUAAUUUACUUUUUUUUUUAGUUUGUAUAUCGUCGUAAUUUGAAUAUUUUAUAAGAAUAAUAAUGUUCAAGAUUUUUUACAAUAAAAAUAAAUCAGAUCAAGGUGCAGUUUAUAAAAAAGAAGAAAUGGGUUACAAUAAAAUUAUUUAAGGAUUAUUAUUUAUAAAAUAAUAUAAAUUUGGAUUUGAGAGUAAAUUUAAUUAAUUAAUUAAAUUGAUUUUAGCUCUAAAAU